rnacentral:ncRNA from 2 species
AAAAAUAAAAUUAUUGAAGGUGUUAAUUCCAACCCGAAUAGGGAAGUACGGUGAAAAGCCGUUGUGGUGCCGCCGCUGUAAUCGUUAGAAGAUCCGCUUGGUCGUAAAAGGGUCAGCCAUUUUUUAAAAUGAAAGAGAAGGCGAGGGAUCUUUGUUUGACCGGGAGCCAGAAGACCUGUCUUCAUUUGACCCGUUUU